CCAGAGCAGGGCACAUACAGUGGUUGACAAGUGCUCGGGACGGUGGCAGUGGUAGCUGUUUCUACAAAGGACAGAGACACACCUCUCAACGCUGAUGGCUGUCAGGAGAUAUAAGCCUGUGUUGUAGGCAAAGAGAGACAACAGGAAAAGUGGCCUCAGGUAGUUCAAGAACUCUAAAGUGGAGCAGGAGACGUUCUCCAUGAUGUAUAACAGGGCUGAGGUGAGCAUGAAGAGGAGGAAGGUGAAGUCUGCAAAGGCCAGGUUGAGGAUGUAGACGGUAAUGGGAUUCCUGCGGAUGCGGAAGCCAAGGAGCCAGAGGACGGCCCCAUUCCCCACCAGCCCGCAUGGGCAGAUGAGCAGCGUGGCACCAUCCAGGGCCACAUCAGAGACAUCUAUCACACAUUUGUAAUCUCCAUCAUCUGCUAGUGUGGGCUGCGCAGGCUGCAGUUGUCCAUAUACCGUGGCAAGUUGGUACCGAGUUCAGCAAAGAUGUUACAAACCCUCCUAUGGAUGAGGACAGAGCAACGGAUCUUCUUGGAGGCAUUCACCCUCCCCUAUCUGGCCUCACCUCAUGAUUACCUGGACAGGAUGAAGCUAUGUCAUCGCAUCUAUUUUCCUGCUGAAGCCUUUUCUCUGUCCUUGAUCAUGCAACCUUGCUCUGUUGACUUCAUUCAGGUGAAUAUAAGAGGACAAGGAAGAUGGAUUGACAUUCCAGCAACAUGUUGCUUGAUUUGACUACAGUGUCCCCAUCUCCUGUGGAGAGCAACCCGGGGGGAUGGACACAACAGGACUGGAGGCUUUGCAGACCACAUCCCUGAAAUUGUCAUUGAUAGCAUUACAUUGCUUAUCUGCCUGUGCAGGCUGUUUGGGAAUGUGGCCAUCAUCUGGAUUCUUGGUUUCUGCAUUAGGAGGAAUCCUUUCACUGCCUACUUCCUGAACCUGGCCAUUGCAGCUGCCUUUUUGCUUCUAUACAUCUGUUUUCCUCAUAAUAUAUCAUAUCCCCAUGCUUAGCUGUUUUCAGCCAGAGCUUUGGCAUGUGCUCCUGCUGCUUCACUUCAUGGUUCUGUUCACAUACAGCACUCCCCAUGCUGUAUCUCCCCAUGUCCAUCAGUGUGGAAAGGUGUCUGGCUGUCCUCUUGCCCUUUUGGUGAAACUGUCACCAACCAAAGCUCUUAUCAGCAAUAAUAUGUGGCCUGCUCUAGGCACUUGGCUGAGUGCUGUCUGGGUUUGUGUACUUUGUGUAUGAUUUGGGUCACUGCAAACACUACUGGAUAGUUCUUGCAACCUUGUGCUUUCUCAGUUUUUGCCUUUU